rnacentral:lncRNA from 1 species
GUUGUUAAAAUAAUGCUUAAUCAAAAUUUUAUUAUUAUAUGUCAAAAUGUGAGGGAAAUUUGACUAAGCAUGAUCAUGAAGAUGGAGCUCAUGCUAACAUAAUCAAUUGUGAGCAUAUGAGCAAUGCCAAUUGUAAGAAUAUGGGGAAGCUAACCAAACAUGGACAAGCACAGGGAAGACAGCAUAGUAGCCAUCAGAGUGACCGUAACACCAAGCCAGAGCCAAGCAAGUGUGCAUUAAACCAAGUCAAUGCUGCAUGCAGUCUAGGCACUUCAUUGAGGCAUUUUCACAAACACCUUUGUGAAAAUUGGUGGAGUUAUCUUUUAUAUGAGCAACUAUUUUUCUAUGUGUUACUUAUAUUUUUAAGAGUUUGUUUUAGAAUGUGAUUAGUCUAUUUAAUCACAUUUUUAAUAUGCAUUAAGUUAGUUAGUCCCUUUUUUGACCACUGGGUACCAUAGUCUUGUUUUUCUUUUAUUUGUAAAAGGGGUAUAAAUUUAUAUAAGGUCCUGUAUUUGAAGAAUCAAGAAAGUUAAUGCAAUCUUUGAAGUAUUAUUCAGAUUAUCAUCUUCUUCCACAUCUCUUGCCAUGUUCUUUGCCAUGUUCUAACAUGGUAUCAGAGCUAUAAUUUUCUAUAGACUCUGUUGUGCAUAAGUUUACGACAUAUUAUUCUACAUCAACAUCCUAUACAUCCCAUUUUAUGUUGUGGACAUUCACUAAUCUUGCACAGAUAUCUCCAAUUGUGAUUGGAUUAUCAAGAUUACAAGACUGAGAAAUUCUCUCAGUGAUAUUCUUUGCAAGACUUCCUAGAGAUUCAUGCUCAAAACCCAUUUUUUUUGUUAAAUUUGGUGUUGUAUGUUGAAUUUUAGGAGGAAGCUUCUUACCAUAACUUCCCUGUUUUUUUUAUGUGAAUUAUUCCUCUAGCUGCUGCUCUCCAUCAUUAUAAAAGUGCUGCUAGAACAGGUAGACCCAGGUCUUUCAUGCCCCAUUUGAUUUCACUGCUAAUUGAGUUGGUGUAUCUCUACUUUGGCAAAUUAUUACGCAUACCCUCUUCUUGAAUUCUUUUAUAUCAGAUCAGAAACUAAGCCCCUACAAUGGACCAACACAAAGCAAUCUUGGAGUUGAUCAAAGAACCUAUAAUUCAACAUAGCACUAACCAAAUUAAAACAAAUUUGUUGGAUGAUUCAGGUAACAUCUGCACCCAAAAAGGGAUCUUGAUGAGUGAAGAUCGGAUUCUUAACACUGGAACAACAGAUCAUGAUGGAAUCACAUUGAAGAUGAUUGGUGUUGUGGAGAAAUGAGAGGACUAUAUAUUAUGAAAUUCAAGGCCUUUACUUUUAAAGUCAUUAAUUUUGUGAAC